rnacentral:miRNA from 1 species
UAGGGUGACCAAUCAUUUCGGUUUGCCUGGGACUGAGAUGUGGGACUCUCAGUGCCA